AUGGCUGUCGUCAGCUCGUGCCGUGAGGUGUCGGGUUAAGUCCCAUAACGAGCGCAACCCCUAUUUCUAGUUACCAGCGAGUAAUGUCGGGAACUCUAGAGAGACUGCCUGUGUAAACAGUGAGGAAGGUGGGGAUGAUGUCAAAUCAUCACGGCCCUUAUGUCUUGGGCUACACACGUGCUACAAUGGUCACUACAGUGGGCUGCCAUCUGGUGACAGAGAGCAAAUCCAUAAAGGUGAUCCCAGUUCGGAUCGGAGUCUGCAACUCGACUCUGUGAAGUUGGAUUCGCUAGUAAUCGUAUAUCAGCAAUGAUACGGUGAAUACGUUCCCGGGCCUUGUACACACCGCCCGUCAAGCCAUGGAAGUUUGUAGUGCCUGAAGUCAGUAACCGCAAGGAUCUGCCUAGGGUAAGACAGAUAACUAGGGCUAAGUCGUAACAAGGUAGCCGUACCGGAAGGUGUGGCUGGAAUAUCUCUUUUUUUGAGUAUUGUUUGUGUUUAAUUCUAUCUUCUUUUUUCCUUUUUAAAGUCUCGUAGCUCAGCUGGUUAGAGCGCUACACUGAUAAUGUAGAGGUCGGCAGUUCGAGUCUGCCCGGGACUACAUUAAAAAGGGGGAUUAGCUCAGUUGGCUAGAGCGCUUGCCUUGCACGCAAGAGGUCAUCGGUUCGACUCCGAUAUUCUCCACUUAUUCUGUUUUUAAACAGAUAAAGUUCUUUGACAUAUUGUAAUGAAUAUAUAUACUUAAUUUUAAAAGUUAUUAAGGGCGUAUGGCGGAUGCCUAGGCUCUCAUAGGCUAUGAAGGACGUGACAAGCUGCGAUAAGUUUCGAUAAGAUGCAAAUAAUCUUUGAGUCGAAAAUUUCCGAAUGGGGAAACCCGG
rnacentral:sRNA from 1 species